ACCUAAAUUAGCUCACUCGGUAGAGCCUGUGACUCAUAACCUCAGGGAUGUGGGUUCGAGCCCCAUGUUGGGCA